UACGGAGGAUCCAAGCGUUAUCCGGAUUUAUUGGGUUUAAAGGGUGCGUAGGCGGUUUUAUAAGUUAGAGGUGAAAUCUCGGGGCUCAACUCCGAAAUUGCCUCUAAUACUGUAGGACUAGAGAGUAGUUGCGGUAGGCGGAAUGUAUGGUGUAGCGGUGAAAUGCUUAGAGAUCAUACAGAACACCGAUUGCGAAGGCAGCUUACCAAACUAUAUCUGACGUUGAGGCACGAAAGCGUGGGGAGCAAACA
rnacentral:rRNA from 1 species